AGUUUGACUUCUGCUCCGGACCGGCGGUCCGCCUUAGCGGCGGCUACUGCCGGGUUCCGAGCUGUGUCCCCGCCGGCGCGCACGGGGUUUUUUAUGCCCUUAACCGGGUGUCCCCCUGUGGCCGGCACGUUUACUUUGAAAAAAUUAGAGUGCUCAUAGCUGGCUGGUCUUUGCUUACAGCCCGAAUGGUCGUGCAUGGAAUGAUGGAACAGGACCUCGGUUCUAUUUUGUCGGUUUUUCGGAACCCGAGGUAAUGAUUAAUAGAAGCAGACGGGGGCAUUCGUAUUGCGACGCUAGAGGUGAAAUUCUUAGACCGUCGCAUGACGACCUACUGCGAAAGCAUCUGCCAAGGAUGUUUUCAUUGAUCAAGAACGAAAGUUAGAGGUUCGAAGGCGAUCAGAUACCGCCCUAGUUCUAACCUUAAACGAUGCUGACUAGCGAUCCGCCGCAGUUAUUCCCAUGACCCGGCGGGC
rnacentral:rRNA from 1 species